UUAAGGAUCAGGCCAGUUUGGGGAGUGAAAUGGAUUUUGAAUCUUAUCGAUGCCUUUUUGUUUUCUGUGCAGAUGAUAUUCUGUUUUUUUCUCUUCUACGUUAUUCAUAUAGCAAAUUAUAUUAGUAAGGAGUGUACUUUGAGGAAUACUUGCCUUCUUGGGAGAAAUCCCACUUGGUCAUGGAACACGAGUACUGUUGGAUUCUGUUGCUCAGCAAUUGUUUCCACUGCUGGAUGAAAACAAGUCUUUUGCCAUCUUCCCUGGGGCUUGAUGUUGAGGCCAAGUCACUGUUUCACUAGCCCUCAUGCUGCCAGAUGAAGGGUAUUGGAAGAGACAGCACUUGCCAGGCCAUGAGGGUCCCGUUACUCCUCCAUCCGGGGUAUCAGGUGCCUGUGAACCUGAAACCUGCUCACUUAGGAGUUCAGAGAAGACGCCGAGAGGAUCUUCUCCAAGAAGUUCCCUGUGCCUACCUGGCCAAAGUAACUGCCUCUGAUUCUCUUACUGCAACAUCAAAGAAACAACUAACCAUAACUUUGCUAUGAAACUAACCAUAACUUUGCUAUGAAACUAACCAUAACUUUGCUAUGAAAGUAGUCCUUGUUCAUGUUAGAGACCCCAAGUUAGUGUGCUCCGUGCACGGUGAGGCCAAACAAAUCGAAACAUCAAAGUUUAGAGCAAGAUUUAUUGCAGGACCAUGCAAGGAGAUGGGUGGCUCAUGCCCCAAAAUACCCUGAACUCCCUGAAGGGUUUCAGCAAAGAAUUUUUAAAGGCCAGGUGAGGGAAGUGGGUCACAGGGUAUGUGACCAGCUCCUGCACGAUUCUCUGAUUGGUUGAUGGUGAGGUAACAGGGCAGUGGCA